rnacentral:rRNA from 1 species
UAGAGUUUGAUCCUGGCUCAGGAUGAACGCUGGCGGCGUGCCUAACACAUGCAGUCGAACGGAGAUUAGACGCUGCAGAGAUUUCGGUCGAAGCUUGUUUAAUCUUAGUGGCGGACGGGUGAGUAACGCGUGGGCAACCUGCCUCAUACUGGGGGAUAGCAGUUGGAAACGACUGAUAAUACCGCAUAAGCGCACGGUAUCGCAUGAUACAGUGUGAAAAACUCCGGUGGUAUGAGAUGGGCCCGCGUCAGAUUAGCUAGUUGGUAAGGUAACGGCUUACCAAGGCGACGAUCUGUAGCCGGACUGAGAGGUCGGACGGCCACAUUGGGACUGAGACACGGCCCAAACUCCUACGGGAGGCAGCAGUGGGGGAUAUUGCACAAUGGGGGGAAACCCUGAUGCAGCGACGCCGCGUGAGUGAGAAGUAUUUCGGUAUGUAAAGCUCUAUCAGCAGGAAGAAAGGCCACGUAAGUGGAGAUGACGGUACCUGACUAAGAAGCCCCGGCUAACUACGUGCCAGCAGCCGCGGUAAUACGUAGGGGGCAGCGUUAUCCGGAUUUACUGGGGUGUAAAGGGAGCGCAGACGGUAUGGGCAGUCUGAGUGGAAACCCCACGGCUCA